CCGUUUUCUGCUUGAGUGUCUUCGCACUUGUAGGAUUACAGCUGUUUAUGGGACACCUGAGGAAUAAGUGCAUAAAAACAUCAAACUAUACAAAUAUAUUCAAUGAGAGCUACAUAAAUGACACAGGUAAUCAAUAUUUCCUUCCAGGGAAAAAAGAUGCAUUGCUUUGUGGAAACAGCAGCUCUGCUGGGCAGUGUCCAGAGGGGUAUACAUGUUUAAAAGGUGGAAGAAACCCAGACUAUGGUUACACAAGUUUUGACAACUUUGGUUGGGCCUUCCUUUCUCUGUUUAGGCUGAUGACACAGGAUUACUGGGAAUAUCUUUAU